rnacentral:rRNA from 1 species
UACGAAGGGGCUAGCGUUGCUCGGAAUCACUGGGCGUAAAGCGCACGUAGGCGGACUCUUAAGUCGGGGGUGAAAUCCUGGAGCUCAACUCCAGAACUGCCUUCGAUACUGGGAGUCUUCGAGUUCGGGAGAGGUGAGUGGAACUGCGAGUGUAGAGGUGAAAUUCGUAGAUAUUCGCAAGAACACCAGUGGCGAAGGCGGCUCACUGGCCCGGUACUGACGCUGAGGUGCGAAAGCGUGGGAGCAAACAGG